rnacentral:lncRNA from 1 species
UUAUGAUCUGCAUAAUCCUUAGUCUUUAUUAAUAUUACAAAAAGCAGAAGACAGGACAGUAUAGUUUAUUUAGUAAGUAUUCUAAAUAAAUUUAGUCUAACUGUUCCUAUUUUUUGUUACAUAAAAUAAGUUAGGUAAACAUUGCCAGCAGAUUGACAUUCAAAACGCAAAACAAAGUCACUAUUUGAUAGUGGUAACACAUUACAGUUUGCUUCUACCUACAAAAUGAGCUAUGGUAUUAAAUUUGACUCUCUUCAAGUUUGUGGCCACUGUUA